CCCUUAGAUGUUCUGGGCCGCACGCGCGCUACACUGAUACGUUCAUCGAGCUUACCACCUUGGUCGAGAGGCCUGGGUAAUCUUUUAAAAGCGUAUCGUGCUGGGGAUAGAUUAUUGCAAUUUUUAAUCUUCAACGAGGAAUUCCUAGUAGACGCAAGUCAUCAACUUGCAUCGAUUACGUCCCUGCCCUUUAUACACACCGCCCGUCGCUACUACCGAUUGAAUGAUUUAGUGAAUUGCAGGGACUUUGCUGGCCUCUUGGUUUCCUUGAGCCGGCAUCGGAACUGCCGUAAACUUGACCAUUUAGAGGAAGUAAAAGUCGUAACA
rnacentral:rRNA from 1 species